rnacentral:lncRNA from 1 species
CUCAGUAGACUAUAGUGUAUAGAACAAAUUAUGAAUGAUUUUCAUCUUGAUACCUUGACAUGAUCCAAUUUCUACAACGACAUUAAACAUUGGAAAGCCAUAUAAUCAACAGACCUGUGUUAAAGAAUGCAUUUGCAUCUUACAUGUUGCAUUUUUUUGGUCUAGCUAAGAAAUGUGUACAUACUGAUAUUUAAAAUCAAACCUUUGCCCAUAAGAAGACUUGCAAGUUGAUCAAUAAUUUUGUAUUUAGGCGCUUCCCAAUAGUGAGAGUACUAGUCUUGCCAAAAAAUGCAAUUUACCUACAACAAGGCAGUCAAAAAGAUAUUCAAAUGCAAAUCUAAAUACACAUAAAAGUAAAGCCAUGAAUGCAUUUGUAGAUAAUUUUGAUAUGCUGCAACAAGCAGAGACAUGCUACAGCCAUCAACAUCCAACAAGUAGAAAUGCUCUUUUGAUUACUCUAUAGCCUAUAUGUAAUUCUCUCCAAACAAAACAAGUAUGACGUAAUUCUCUAAUAGUUCAAAAAUAAAGGUGCAUAUUGCAUAAUUAUGAUGGUACAUGGUUUUUUAAAUGCUACAGCCAUUUAAGGAAUGAUAAAAUCAAUCAUUAAUUUAGAUUCAUACUAAAGAAAAUUUAUGUCCCGUCACACAACAAACGCCUUGCACAUGCUUAAAACAUCUCAAACAAUAACAAGAAAACCAGAACAGUGUAAGACAAGACAGUGCAAACCAAAUCACUGAUUAAUUGAAUAUCGAGCACACCUUUUCAGGAUCUCCACCGCCUUCAAACAUGUAUAUAUAUGCUCCCCUCUCAUGACUGGCCUUGGGUCUUUUCCAACCUAAAUUCAUCAAGAAAGUGAACAAUUAAUUGAAUAUUAUGUUCUCUAUUUAUGACAACCUCCUAACUAGUAGUACUAGAAUCAAUGACAUGCCUUAAGUUAAUGUUUCCUUGUUUUGCUUCAUCGACUCCAAAUAGUCAAGCUUUACACAAAUUGUGCCACAUGAACUCUUCUAUAUCAUUUGGAUUUCGAGCAACAUCUAACCGAAACUGCUCAGCUCCUUCUAUAUCAUAUGACUUCUUCUAUAAAGGCCAUAUUUAAAAUAUUUUGCAUAACCAAAUGAGGAAAAGAAUAUACCCUAUAUUGAUCUUAACUCUUUAGGAUAUUUGUUUCCCAUAAAUAUCAUGGCACACGUCUUUCAAAGAGUAGCAACAAACAUAAUUCAUUCAAUAUUCCUUUAAAUUCAUUAACAAGGCUAAAAAACCUAUGAUAAAUAAAAUAAAAAACCCAUCACACAUUUCAUAUGAUAUUCAUUGACAAUAUACAACACUUACGCUUGAAAAUCCAGUUUCAGAUGUAAUAUAAUUCAACUUUAAGCUUCAAAAAUCAUAUGUUUUGUGUUUGUGCACACACAGAGUGGUGUAAGUUCGAAUCAUACCUCAUAGGAAUAGUAAUCGCUUUAAUCUUUUCAGAUGUCCUAAGUUCCUUAUUCACAAUAGGAUGGUACUGUAUAGAAAUCAAAUAAACACAAAAAUCAUGAACGAGUAAGCUCACACAGACUAGACAACGAAAGAGAAAGUUCGUCACUUACCGAAGACAAAACAAGAGAAGCUUCGUCGAUUUGGAGAUAGAUUUGGGAUUGGAACGAUGAACGAGUUAGGGAUUUAGAUUUCAAGCGGCUAUAAGGGAUUUAGAACAUGUUAGGGAUUUAAAGCGACUAAAAGGAUGAAGAUUUGGAAUGAGUUAGGAAUUUGGAGGCGUUUGUGGUUGAAGGACUUGGAACUCCAUAGCUUCGC